GCUUACGGCCACACCGGCCUGAGUACUCCCGAUCUCGGAAGCUAAGCAGGGUCGGUCCUGGUUAGUACUUGGAUGGGAGACCGCCUGGGAAUACCAGGUGCUGUAAGCU
rnacentral:rRNA from 1 species